UUCCAUAAGGUACAGAAAAUAUUUACAUUCAAGAAGCAAGUUCUUUCUUCAAUUUCUUGACAGCAGACCGCUUUAAUUAUAUGUGUGCUGACAGGACUACAGAGAGAUCCCAUGUGACCACAGUGCAAGGGAAGAAAGCUUAUCAUCAGGUGACAGAAGAAUGCCCUUAUUGUUAGCACCAGGACUCACAAAUAAGCCUUUCCAUUGUGUCAUAUACCGGUAUAAACACACCACUCCUGUGGCAUGGAGCUAAUAUGUUAAUAAGGUGCUACUAAUGACUUUUCACCGUACAAAAGAGACCAACUCCUGCCCCCUAAACAGCUAUGGAUCUUCUGUUUGGAAACAGAGAUCUGUUACAGAAGAUUUCUUUAUAACUUACUAUCCUGGAGCACAGAUGAAAAAUGUUGGUAUGGGUUGCCGACCGUGCCUGUUCACUUUGAGGCACAGACUACUGCUGGAGCAUUGCAGCAAUGACACCAGACUGCCAUACUGAAGUCUGCUCACUGCAACGACCAGUACAGCCACCAAGCAAAAAGAGAUUAUCCAUAUGCAGUGUGACCUCACCAGACAGCACCAAUUUUGCCCAGAACAGAUGAGAUGUCCCCCCCUGGCAAACUUAAACAAUGGAAGAGCUUUAAACAGAGACUGUACAUGAAGAAUUUCACCCCACACGUUCCGUUGAGGAUGCUGCUGCUGAAAACCUUGCAUUUGAUGAACUCAGUGAAGAAAGAGACUAACUCCUGGUGAAAUGCCAACUACUGUUUUACACCUUCUAUCGAGAUGCAUCAUGUGCCUGCAAAAGGCACAAGCUGCGCCAGGGGAAAUUUAGGCUGGAGGUGAGGAGAAAGUUCUUCACUGAGAGAGUCAUUGGACACUGGAAUGGGCUGCCCGGGGAGGUGGUGGAGUCGCUGUCCCUGGGGCUGUUCAAGGCAGGACUGGAUGUGGCACUUGGUGCCAUGGUCUAGCCUUGAGCUCUGUGGUAAAGGGUUGGACUUGAUGAUCUGUGAGGUCUCUUCCAACCUUGGUGAUACUGUGAUACUGUGAAAAUAGCCUCGUUGUCCUCCUGGAGGUAAGUUUUUUGGCAAAUAUAGGAAGCAGUGGUACAAGUCAUUGGAGACCAUAGCUUUUAUUUUACCCAGAGCCUUCAUCAUCAUGGAACAUCCACGCACUGGAAUACAGCUCUGAUCCAGCACAACUAACAACACAUUUGAGAGGAGUUCAGUAUUCUAAGACCUACUCCACAUAUUGACAGACGAAAUUCAUGUGAAACCCUCCUCAACCAUCAAUGAAAAGAGAAUCCAAAGGAAUCACAUCACAUAUAAGGGUAAUAAACUUCAAAACCAGCACAACCUGAAUACAGAUGAGAAUCUAAUUGAACCAUCAGCAGAGUUCAAUGUAACAGUGCAUCUACCACUGGCAAUCUGUGCACAUUGGCCAGCUAUAGGUGGUGAGGCACAA